AGCCCAGCUCCUCUUCCCGGCCCACAGCAGUGGCUUCCAGAACUUUCUGUUUAAGCCGCAGAACUCUCUGCAGGCAGCAGUUGAUAAGCAGAUGGAAAGGGGCUGCUCUCCUUGAAGGGUUGGGGUGGAGGGAGGCACAGAGCUCCACCUGCUUGGCCCCAGUGCCCUGGGCGGAAGCCUGGGGCCCCCAUCUCCAGCCUGAUGCCUGCUUCUCCCCAUGGGUGUCAUUCUCAGUGCUGUCCUCUGAGGGCCCCUGCAGUGCCAUCCCUGCCCGCCUGCCCCUCCUGACUCCCGCUUACCCUACACCUGUCCCCCAGGCUGGGUUAGGACCUCCUCCCUUGGCUCCCAGCCCCCAUCCUGUGCCCUGUGCCCCAACACCCAGCUCCAGGUGAGCACUGAGAAUGAGCCUGGUGUGUUUGCUGAUUGACAGAAACAUACGUCAUUCUCCUAGUUCCUGGAGAAGGUGUUUUUCUUCAUGGCGAGGACACCAAACUUGUCCUGAAAUUUCCUUUGUUUCCUGAAGGUGGAGAAACUGGAAGUUUCGAGGUCUGAAGUGAAAUUAAAUUGGACUGGCCUCUCAUCAAACCCAAAGAGCCACAUGGUUGAUCUGACCCCCUUGGUCCUCAAUCCUGGAGGCUUCCACUUCUCAUACUUGGCUAGGAACAGUGCUCACAAGCUCCAUUGCCAGGGCGUCCCCUGGACCUCUGCCUGUAGUGGCUUCCCCAACAGUGAGGAGAUGCCCUCCCCUUCUGUGAAGGCCUCCAUCUUCACCCCGCCUGUCCUGAUCAAGUUCCAGCCUAUACCCAGACCCAAAGAAGACUCAGAGAAUGUCCCUGGCAGUGCAGAGUCCGUGCCCCACCAGAAGGACCCGUAACAUCUUUGGUGCAGACCACAGCCGGAGAA